AUUGAACGCUGGCGGCAGGCCUAACACAUGCAAGUCGAGCGGGGUUUUCGAACCUAGCGGCGGACGGGUGAGUAAUGCGUAGGAAGCUACCCGAUAGAGGGGGAUACCAGUUGGAAACGACUGUUAAUACCGCAUAAUGUCUACGGACCAAAGUGUGGGACCUUCGGGCCACAUGCUAUCGGAUGCGCCUACGUGGGAUUAGCUAGUUGGUGAGGUAAUGGCUCACCAAGGCGACGAUCCCUAGCUGGUUUGAGAGGAUGAUCAGCCACACUGGAACUGAGACACGGACCAGACUCCUACGGGAGGCAGCAGUGGGGAAUAUUGGACAAUGGGCGCAAGCCUGAUCCAGCCAUGCCGCGUGUGCGAAGAAGGCCUUCGGGUUGUAAAGCACUUUCAGUAGGGAGGAAGGGUUAAGUGUUAAUAGUACUUAACUUUGACGUUACCUACAGAAGAAGCACCGGCUAACUCUGUGCCAGCCGCCGCGGUAAUAC
rnacentral:rRNA from 1 species